AUUGAACGCUUGCGGCAGGCUUAACACAUGCAAGUCGAGCGGGGGAGGUUGCUUCGGUAACUGACCUAGCGGCGGACGGGUGAGUAAUGCUUAGGAAUCUGCCUAUUAGUGGGGGACAACAUUCCGAAAGGGAUGCUAAUACCGCAUACGCCCUACGGGGGAAAGCAGGGGAUCUUCGGACCUUGCGCUAAUAGAUGAGCCUAAGUCGGGUUAGCUGGUUGGUGGGGUAAAGGCCUACAAAGGCGACGAUAUGUAGCGGGUCUGAGAGGAUGAUCCGCCACACUGGGACUGAGACACGGCCCAGACUCCUACGGGAGGCAGCAGUGGGGAAUAUUGGACAAUGGGCGGAAGCCUGAUCCAGCCAUGCCGCGUGUGUGAAGAAGGCCUUUUGGUUGUAAAGCACUUUAAGCGAGGAGGAGGCUCUUAAGGUUAAUACCCUUGAUGAGUGGACGUUACUCGCAGAAUAAGCACCGGCUAACUCUGUGCCAGCAGCCGCCGUAACAC
rnacentral:rRNA from 1 species